AGUUAAGAUUUAUCGCGAAUGUUGCAUCUUUAUAUUUUAAAAUAUGUCAAUCGGAUAUUUUGCAAAAGGGUAACAUCCUACAUUGAUUUUGUCAUAAAGAAUACAUCAAAGAGGAUUCAGGAAGUUUCACGUUGGUCUUUUCUUCCGAUUUAAUAAAUAGCACAAUCUAAAGGCCCGUUUAAACGAUCCAACAAUGUUGGACCAACAUCGUAUAACAUUAUUGGAUGCACAUUGGAUAAUGUUGGACGGUUGUGUUUAAACGAUCCAUUAACUUGUGUUAGGAAACUGCUCACUGGGGCCAAAAGCAUAGCAGGCACAGAAAUGAAGGCGAAGUAACUCGAUGAAUGAUGAAUUCUCUAUCUCCUCACUUCCAUAAAACGA